CAUUUUGUGAAAUAAAUACUGUAUACUCUAUUUCAUUGUUUUAUUUACAUACAUUUUAAUUUACGACUAUGGCAUUUUUAUUGUGCAUCAUUGUCGUUCAUUCAAGUUGAGAUUUGAUAACUUGUACAGACAAGUUGGAUUUACUCUGUCAAGUCACGCCUACUACUACCACCACCACCAACACUAUUUUGUGAUUAUUGGUCGGGAGGGUGAGGGUGAACUUUACUUUUUACAUUUUCAUUCUCAUCGCUGUCAUUCCAUCAGUGGCAGCUUUACCAUCACCAUCAUCAUCACUAUCAUCAUCAUUAAUCAGGUGAACAGAAACAUGGAUUUGCAACAAAUCAACGCUGUAACCGAUCAGAACAGAAAACCCAUAUCCAAGCUGACCAGUCUACAGGAAGGAGAAGGUCAUUUGAUACUCGGGAUGAGGAUAGUGAAUGGCACAUUCGGUAAAAGUGUCAUGGUGGAGUUGGAAAAAACUGUAGUGUUUCUGCCGAAUCGAGCGACCCAUGUACUGGAGGCCAACAUCGAGAAGUUUGAACCGGAAAAAUACUUGCUUGUAUUCACAGGUCAGCAACUCAUUGGUGGUUACUCCAAGCCACUUGCCACAUUUCAAAUUGUUACGAAAUAAUAAUAAACAUUAUACAUUAUAUAAAUACACAAUAAUAAAAUCAUAAUUAUAAAUUAA